UGGGGAAUAUUGCACAAUGGGGGAAACCCUGAUGCAGCAACGCCGCGUGAGUGAAGAAGUAUUUCGGUAUGUAAAGCUCUAUCAGCAGGGAAGAAAAUGACGGUACCUGAGUAAGAAGCCCCGGCUAACUACGUGCCAGCAGCCGCGGUAAUACGUAGGGGGCAAGCGUUAUCCGGAUUUACUGGGUGUAAAGGGAGCGUAGACGGCGAUACAAGUCUGAAGUGAAAGCCCGGGGCUCAACCCCGGGACUGCUUUGGAAACUGUGUUGCUGGAGUGCUGGAGAGGCAAGCGGAAUUCCUAGUG
rnacentral:rRNA from 1 species